rnacentral:rRNA from 1 species
CAGUCGCCGCGGGAACACGUAGGGUGCGAGCGUUAAUCGGAAUUACUGGGCGUAAAGCGCACGCAGGCGGUUUGUUAAGUCAGAUGUGAAUUCCCCGAGCUUAACUUGGGAACUGCAUUUGAAACUGGCAAGCUAGAGUCUUGUAGAGGGGGGUAGAAUUCCAGGUGUAGCGGUGAAAUGCGUAGAGAUCUGGAGGAAUACCGGUGGCGAAGGCGGCCCCCUGGACAAAGACUGACGCUCAUGCACGAAAGCGUGGGGAGCAAACAGGAUUAGAUACCCGUGUAGUCCCUGUCUCUUAUAC